rnacentral:ncRNA from 1 species
ACUGACAGCGGCGAUGGAGCCCGCCCUGAACCGCCGAUCCGGCUGAUGGCCCCUGCGAACAU